rnacentral:lncRNA from 1 species
GGAUUAUAGUAGCACUCCAGGGCUGGGAGCCUGCUUCUAGCAACUUCUUUCUGCUCCUUGACUUGUGAUCUUGUGGAUGAAAUGGCUAGAUUGAGACUACACAGAGCUCCUGGGCCUUAACCCAAAGGAGCUUCAAGGAGCUUCUGGUCAGACCAGAAGGAGCAUCCUUGUGUGGCCUCCAGGCAAAACUUGUCUUCUUGAGGCAGGCUAGGCAGCACAGGUGACUUGGGGCCCCAUGCUGUCCCUCAUGGAUUAAACUUGGGCAAGAGGUCUCCUGGUCUCUUCUCUCCCACAGUCUAACUACCACUCACCAUCUUCCCGUCGGCUUCUCCCGAGCUACACAGUCAAGCCCCUGUCUCAGAAGCAACCAGCCAGGUUGAUUUGCAGGGAGCUACCAGCAUAGUGUGGCCAUGAGCUCUGGCCAGGAGUGCAAGGGACUGGACUCAGCUCCAGAUUGGUCACUGCUGGCCAUGAGACUUGAGUGGCUCACCGGACUGUUCUCUGCUUCACCAGCUUCAUCUGUAGCAUCUUCGUGCAUAGUCCAGUGGCUUGGGAAGACUGGUAGGAGCCUGGCACAGGGUGGAACUCUAUAGACUGCUGGACACACGGCCAGCCAUUGCUGGACUGGCAAGGACCACCAGCUUCAAGUCUGCACCUUGCUUCCUUCCUAUUCUGGGCCCUGCAUCUUUACAGAGCCUCCAGUUGUACCCCCAGGGCACAAAACUGCUGCCAUGCCUCCCUCUCCCCAUUGCUAAGCUCAGAUAGGGUUGAGGCCGCAUCCAUGGUGGGUUUCACGUCGGACGCUUUGGGGGAACAAAGCAAGCCCUGCGCUGCUUGCAGACUCUCCAGACAGGGUGUUUGCAGUGCUAGCUAGCAGCUCAGCUGCAGCAGCUCCCGGAAGCUUACAUUUUCCUCUUAAAAACAUCCUGUCCUGAGGGGCGUUUACCUCAAAGAGGAGGAAGGAAAACACAAGCAGACAAAUGCAUAGAAACCACGAGAGGCCAUGGGCAAGUCCACUCCGCUUAUGAGGGUUCAGUUCAGUGGAAUGGUGCCGCUAGGCUGGGCAGAGAAACCACAGGUUUGCCAAGGCUGCGUGCAGGGACUCUGUCCUCACCUCCGGUGAGACAGGUCCGUUAUCUGAUGUCAGGGCCAGGAGGCUAGUGGACUAGCCACAUGCAGUCGGCAGGCUCUGCAACCAUGGCAACCUUGUUGCUGACAGGUGGAUCAAAAGCCUCCUCUUGGUCUAGGGUGUGGCCCAGCUGUCCCCCAGCCCUCUCAGCUCUGCUGGCCCUAAGGCCAUGGCCCUGGUUCUGUAGUAGGCAUCUGGCGCAGGGUGUUGGUGAGAAGCUUAUAGGUUAUCAUGCCUUGGGCAGUAGGACCUGCGGCCAGAGCUGGGGACAAAAGGAGCACGACCUGCUCCUCUCAGCCAGUCUGAAGUAUGCCUGCAGAAGAGGGUCUGUGGAGACGUGCAGGUCCAGCCCUGGUCGACGUCAUUUGUAGCAAGCGGGGACGCUCACUCUCAUGGGCUUAGGCACUGGCGAGCAUUACACUCAGGAGCUGGUAGACUCCCAAGCAUACACAGGUCGCUGCUGCUGAUGGUGACUGGGUGUGGAGAUGAGAAAUGAGCACUGGCGGGAACUGUUUCAAUGGCCACCACUGGACCGUCUCGGGGCGCUUAGCUGAGGGUGAGGUCAGCCUGCAGUGUUCCCCAGAUGAGCCUUGGGCUUCUCUGUCUGUGUGUACCUUUUCUAGUUAGAGCAAAACACCAUCUGAACUAGUGGCAGGUCUGAUUGUGACUAUGGUCCUUGUCAUUCUCAGAGUGCCUCAGGUGUGUAAGGGUGUAGAAAGGAGAAAAGGAAGGGGCUCGGGUGCCAGAUGAACCCCUGACCCUAAAGUGGUCCCAGUUUCUGUAUGCUGCCAUAACCCUCGGUGAAGCCCCAGACUUCCCCAGGGCAGCAGGUCUCUUUGAACGUGUGCUCAUCUGCACCACUUUCAGAGAACCAACCUGGGACCCAGCUUUAGUUCAGUGACAAAGAUGAAAGGCACAGUCCCAGAACCACAGGGAGGAGAGAAGGCUGGUGAGGACACAAGAAGGAACCAGCCAUGUAUGGAGGAUUGAAAACUUCUCUGAGGGCUGGAGAGAUGGCUCAGCGGUUAAGAGAACUGACUGCUCUUCAGAAGGUCCUGAGUUCAAAUCCAACAAGCCACAUGGUGGCUCACGACCAUCCGUAAUGAGAUCUGACGCCCUCUUCUGGUGUGUCUGAAGACAGCUACAGUGUACUUACAUAUAACAAUACAUCGUGGCCAUCCUGGAACUCACUGUGUAAACAAGGGU